rnacentral:rRNA from 1 species
AGAGUUUGAUCAUGGCUCAGAUUGAACGCUGGCGGCAGGCCUAACACAUGCAAGUCGAACGGUAACAGGAAGAAGCUUGCUUCUUUGCUGACGAGUGGCGGACGGGUGAGUAAUGUCUGGGAAACUGCCUGAUGGAGGGGGAUAACUACUGGAAACGGUAGCUAAUACCGCAUAACGUCGCAAGACCAAAGAGGGGGACCUUCGGGCCUCUUGCCAUCGGAUGUGCCCAGAUGGGAUUAGCUAGUAGGUGGGGUAACGGCUCACCUAGGCGACGAUCCCUAGCUGGUCUGAGAGGAUGACCAGCCACACUGGAACUGAGACACGGUCCAGACUCCUACGGGAGGCAGCAGUGGGGAAUAUUGCACAAUGGGCGCAAGCCUGAUGCAGCCAUGCCGCGUGUAUGAAGAAGGCCUUCGGGUUGUAAAGUACUUUCAGCGGGGAGGAAGGGAGUAAAGUUAAUACCUUUGCUCAUUGACGUUACCCGCAGAAGAAGCACCGGCUAACUCCGUGCCAGCAGCCGCGGUAAUACGGAGGGUGCAAGCGUUAAUCGGAAUUACUGGGCGUAAAGCGCACGCAGGCGGUUUGUUAAGUCAGAUGUGAAAUCCCCGGGCUCAACCUGGGAACUGCAUCUGAUACUGGCAAGCUUGAGUCUCGUAGAGGGGGGUAGAAUUCCAGGUGUAGCGGUGAAAUGCGUAGAGAUCUGGAGGAAUACCGGUGGCGAAGGCGGCCCCCUGGACGAAGACUGACGCUCAGGUGCGAAAGCGUGUGGAGCAAACAGGAUUAGAUACCCUGGUAGUCCACGCCGUAAACGAUGUCGACUUGGAGGUUGUGCCCUUGAGGCGUGGCUUCCGGAGCUAACGCGUUAAGUCGACCGCCUGGGGAGUACGGCCGCAAGGUUAAAACUCAAAUGAAUUGACGGGGGCCCGCACAAGCGGUGGAGCAUGUGGUUUAAUUCGAUGCAACGCGAAGAACCUUACCUGGUCUUGACAUCCACGGAAGUUUUCAGAGAUGAGAAUGUGCCUUCGGGAACCGUGAGACAGGUGCUGCAUGGCUGUCGUCAGCUCGUGUUGUGAAAUGUUGGGUUAAGUCCCGCAACGAGCGCAACCCUUACCCUUUGUUGCCAGCGGUCCGGCCGGGAACUCAAAGGAGACUGCCAGUGAUAAACUGGAGGAAGGUGGGGAUGACGUCAAGUCAUCAUGGCCCUUACGACCAGGGCUACACACGUACUACAAUGGCGCAUACAAAGAGAAGCGACCUCGCGAGAGCAAGCGGACCUCAUAAAGUGCGUCGUAGUCCGGAUUGGAGUCUGCAACUCGACUCCAUGAAGUCGGAAUCGCUAGUAAUCGUGGAUCAGAAUGCCACGGUGAAUACGUUCCCGGGCCUUGUACACACCGCCCGUCACACCAUGGGAGUGGGUUGCAAAAGAAGUAGGUAGCUUAACCUUCGGGAGGGCGCUUACCACUUUGUGAUUCAUGACUGGGGUGAAGUCGUAACAAGGUAACCGUAGGGGAACCUGCGGUUG